GACGAACCGUGCAAACGUUGUUCGGAAUCACUGGGCUUAAAGGGCGCGUAGGCGGACCGGAUAGUCUGUGGUGAAAGCCCCCAGCUUAACUGGGGAAGUGCCCAUGGAUACUGCCGGUCUGGAGGAGGGUAGGGGCAUCUGGAACGCUGGGUGGAGCGGUGAAAUGCGUUGAUAUCCAGCGGAACUCCGGUGGCGAAGGCGAGGUGCUGGACCCUUUCUGACGCUGAUGCGCGAAAGCCCAGGGAGCAAAGCGGG
rnacentral:rRNA from 1 species